AUUGAACGCUGGCGGCAUGCCUUACACAUGCAAGUCGAACGGUAACAGGUCUUCGGAUGCUGACGAGUGGCGAACGGGUGAGUAAUACAUCGGAACGUGCCCGAUCGUGGGGGAUAACGGAGCGAAAGCUUUGCUAAUACCGCAUACGAUCUACGGAUGAAAGCAGGGGGCCGCAAGGCCUUGCGCGGACGGAGCGGCCGAUGGCAGAUUAGGUAGUUGGUGGGAUAAAAGCUUACCAAGCCGACGAUCUGUAGCUGGUCUGAGAGGACGACCGGCCACACUGGGACUGAGACACGGCCCAGACUCCUACGGGAGGCAGCAGUGGGGAAUUUUGGACAAUGGGCGCAGGCCUGAUCCAGCCAUGCCGCGCGCAGGAUGAAGGCCUUCGGGUUGUAAACUGCUUUUGUACGGAACGAAAAGACUCUUUCUAAUAAAGAGGGUCCAUGACGGUACCGUAAGAAUAAGCACCGGCUAACUACGUGCCAGCCGCCGCAGUAA
rnacentral:rRNA from 1 species